ensembl:lncRNA
CUUCUCCAGGCUGGGGUGGUCCUGACUGAGUCCAUUUGUUUUAGGAGUAUGAAUGGACCAAGGCUUCAAUAACUUCAUAUCUGGUACUGUUGGGUAAAAAAUAGAGGGCAAUCAUUAAGUAGUCCCAGGGAGGAGAAGGGAGGCUGCCCUGCGCUCAGGUGAACAGUGGCUUUGUGCAAGUCGAGUUAGAUCCAGUUAUGAGAGAGAAAGUACAGGAUGUUUCAAUAGCUGCAAAUCCUAUGAGUGGUGAAAAUGUCACCAACAUCUUUUUUUUUUUAAAAAAAACUUCAAUCCCUACAAUAAACAUUUUUCUAUACAAGAUAAAUUCUAAAUUUUACUCUGUCGUCUUAUAGUCUGUGAUGGCCCUGAGAAUACUGACAGUUUCUUUUUCUUCCUAGAACUAGGGGAAAAUUCUUUAUAUUCCACUUGAGAUUUUUUUUUAAUACCAAAGAGGAUAUUGUUUAUAAUUAAUAUGUAUUCUCUUGAUGAAUAAUUUGAUAAAAAUUAUUCUGUUUUCCUAUAAAACAAUUUAUUUAAAUGAGACAGGGUAAGGGUUUUUUUCCCCCUCCUGCUAACAUGAAGUUUUCUCUAUUUUCAGUGGCAUCGCAAGACAGUUGGGCAGUGGUUUCUAUACUGAAAACAGAAAUGACCCCAUUAUCCCACCUGGUUAAAUUUAUACCCUUUUCAAAAUUCUAUUAAUACUUGGUUCUGUUGAGUCUAAUAAGUGCUUCUGGAGAGUCUAAUAAGAACCUCGAUACAGACUUUUAGGAAACCCAGGCUUAGUUCCUUUCUAAAUAAUGAAUUUAUUGAACCCCUUCUCCUGAACAUAGAAGCUGUAAUAUGGAUGCCAAUGUUUCAUGAUCAAAAUUUGAUGAAUAUAUUACAAAUCCCAGCUGCACUCAAAGGAAGUAGUUUGGUUAGAUGCUGAAGGCAGGAAGAAAAUUCCACUGCUUUGUGAACUCAAGUUAGAAUGUCAGUUGCCCAAAAGAGGGAUUUUUUUUUUUUAAAGGAGAGUCACUUUUAAAAAUUGGCAGGCUAACUAACCACAGCAGAUUUGGAAUUCCAGUCCUGACCGGGAAGCAGGGAAAAAACAUCCUCAAAUGUACUAUUAAGAAGUGGCUGUGUAUGGGGAGAAUACAAAUUGAUGAUAAUGUUAAAAUAAACAUAGCAUAUAUUUGAAAUACCAGUCGAUAAUAUGUACAUUGUCUCCCCAAACCUAUGAUAGAUUUGGUGGAUGAACCCUGAUGUUGUAUCUUCUGAAGUGUGUAGGUAGGCGAGCAGGGGUGAUGUGCGUGCCAGGCCCUCACGUUCAGACAGAUUCUCGCUGGCAGCCAUGUUCAUCUGUGAGUGGUGAAAAAAAUAAAGGAAUCUGAAGGUGAUCAGUCCCAUCGUGGGUCUGGUAAAUGAAAAAUUUACAUGUGUGAGACAGUAGUUGUGCAGUCCGAGGAACACAGAUAAGAAAGUGCAAGGCAUUGAAAAUUGUGUCGCUUCUAACAAAGCUUUUAGAAACAGACACACAUAAAUGAGAAUGACUUACAUUGAUUUUUUUAAAAAUCCUUUCUUCUGUGGAGUCGAGUGACUCCAAAGCCUUUGGAGGCGUACAGGAGGUGACAGAGGGCUAGCGGCUUUCUGUUUUAGAAGAGCCCGAGCAAAUUAGAACAGAAACAUUGCCGGAACAGUUUGUGUUUUCUGAAGACCUGCACAGGAAAACUGCACCCGUCAGUGGGAACAAUGAAGCGAUCGGCUUUGUUUGCAUAGAGGGACUUUGCAGAAAAGCUCCAGCUAUAAAAUACCAACAUCCUCAGCUUGCCCCCAAGUUCCUCAUGUCACCCAGUUAAUUCUGAAGGAGAACAGUGUCCUGGAGGGGCUCAGUCUGUGUGUGUUUGCUGUACCACAGUCAACACUCCUCGCCCCUAAUUUUCUGAAACUGACCAAUACUUUCCUGGGGACAGAGGAGGAAAAUGGUGUGGUCCUGGGUAUUCAUUUCGUGACACUGCCCACAAGGGCACACUGGCCUGUGGGCUGGAUGCCAGCCACCAGCCCAUCAUUUCUCAGUGAAAAGAACCUUUCAGCUCGGUUACCUCCUGGAGAGAGCUGAUUUUCCAGCAGUCAGGCUUGAUCUGGGUAAAUAAUUAGAGAGCUGGAGAGCGAAGACAUCGCUCUGGUGCUGUCUGUGAUUCUGCUAGUUUAGCCAGACCCUGUGAUUCCAUCCUUGCUACAAUCUUAACCGUUGUCUUUCUCUAAAGAUGCAGAGAAAGAGGGAGGGGGAGGGAGGGAGGAAGAAACAGCAACAAAGCCAGUUGCUUGCAUUUGUCUUGGAAGAAUUAAUGACAUUUUUCAUUCUUUGGGUGAAAAUAAGAAAAUCGCUGCAGCUCUUUAUCAGCACAUGAGAAGGUGACUCUCGGUCUGCCUCCCUCUCCCUAACCACUCUCACCUCCCAGGCCACGCAUGUUCCGUGCAAUUACUUUGGCAUAUUGAUUUAUUUUUAAAACUAUAUUACCCCUCGUUUACUGGAAUUUGCAGGGCUCUGGGUCAUGCAGGCGGAUCACAUUUCUCAUAAAGCAGACCCUGAAGUGGUUAAUAGGUUGUUCUUGAACUUUUGCAGCUGCUCAUUAAAAGCCAAAUUAAAAAAAAGAAAAAAAGAAAUAUUAGCUGUUACAGAGCAUGUAUGUCUCUCUAAAAAUUUCCAUUGUUCUGCAACUUUAUCACAUUUUAUCCUGUCCUGUGUGAAGAGAAUAAGGAAUUGAUAAAAUUCUUCCAAAGUUCUAGUGAAAUUCCCAAUGUUUCUCUCAUUUGUGUCUUCUGUUGCAACCUCUAUAGUUUACUAGACCAUUAAUUCUCAUUGAUUGAGAAUCAUGGUCACAGAGGCAAUCUGAUUUGCUGAAAAAUAGUAAUUAUACUAGUGGAGUUUUAUUACUUUGGAGGAAGCUAUAUAGAUAAGAAUGAGAACUAAGAAAUGGGAAAAGGUAGCAUAAUUAAGAAUAGUUAUAAUGGACAACAGGCAUGUUUAACAUGGUUCCAUGUUUAACUACAAAGGCUGUUAGUUUUGGUGGCUUCCUUUUCCAAACGUACAAGAUUCUGAGGGUCAAGAAGGGUGGAAGCCAGGCACUCCCCCACCCAUGGCCCACCACCACAGAAUGGUUUAUCACAGCUUGCAAAAUUAAUGAGUCCUUCCCUGAGUUGAACUACAGACUUUUCUAGCAGAUACCAGCUAAACUGGUAACCUGGCUUGCUUUGGUCACCAAUAUGGCAGGCCUUGCUGGGUGUUGGGGGUGGGUGUGACAAACCCAGAUGGUGUGACCCAUCGGCGAGUUGAGUAACCCCACUAAAGGGGGUGCACAACAGUGCCAUGUAUGUGUCCUGCUCACCUGCAUUGAGACCAACUCUCCUCACCGGAGAUUUUUUUUCCUUUUUAAUUUUUCCUCUUUUCAGUGAAACAUUUCAUCUUGGAACUAAAAGCAGCAAAAGUUGAUUGAUAUUAACUAUGGCACUUCUGAACGGAUUAAACCUAAUCCCUUCCUCCUUCCUUUUUUCCUUCUUUCCUUCCUUCUCUCCUUUUUUCCUCCCCCUUGACUCCCUUCCUCCUUCCCUCCCCAAACCCGAGGGAGGCUAGAAGGCUCUUCCUGGCAGGAGAGGGAGGUCCCUGGGGACUCCAUGCCAGGAGGAUAGGUGUGUCAGGAAAGAACAUGGGGUGUCAGGAGUCUGGGGGCCAGGAGCCUCCCAAGUGCUUUCAGGUCUCACACAAAGGGGACGGGGAUUUUUUUUUUUUUUUCAUCAUAGGACAUGAUUGUCCACAGCUACGGGACAACCUCCCGCACGGUCUCAGGACUUGAGUAUUUUGGGAUGUCCUAAACGAAUCCUCUGGAGGUAAACAACGUGUAGGACCCCCUCUAUGCAAUGCCACUGGCAAGCUACCGCUUUCACAGCAAAGCCAGACUCCGGCCCUGCCCGAGGUGAAGUCUUUGUCUGCCUGCGCGCCCGGCCGCUCCGGCUUCGGAUUGAUUUUUGGUCCCGGCGGCAGCAAGUUGGGGGCUGGCUCGGAGGGUGGAGGCGGCUUGGGGGCGGAGUGCGGAUUGGCAUCCCCGGCUGCAGGGAGCCCACUGCUGCUCCAGGAUUUUUUUUUUUUUUUUAACUUGGAAUUUCCAGAUGACAAGAAAGAGGUUUCUCCUGGAUCUGAGGGAGCCAUUAACAUCUAUUAGUAACGCCGAUGGGGUAAGUAGCAGAGUGGCGCUCGGGGCUCCAGUCGGGUGUGCGGUCCUCGCCGAGCUCGAGCAUCGGCCGCCCUGCGCUCCGGCUGGAUGCGCUCCGGGGCCGGCGGGGACGUGGCCGGCUGCCUGCCCGUUCCGACCCCUGCCCAAGGUAAGGGGUCCUCGCCGGGGCUCCUGCGGCUGACCUCGCCCCCCGCCCCCACCUGCCGGGACUUCUUAGCAGGGCAUCUUCUCUGGCGGGUGAAUUACUUGUCAUUUCUCCCGGGGCACUGCCCGCCGCCUUCCUGGGACCGUCCUUUCAGAUUUGGUGAUCCGCCCCGACACCCACCGGAGUCUCUCCCUGGAGGUGGUGCUUAUGCAUAUUCAUUUUGUCUGGUAGCCGCUACCCGACUUGCCACUGCAGGUUGAUUUAUCGAUGUGCUUGUAAAGUGUGUUUUAUUUGAGUAAUUAGCAACCCUGAAUUCGUGGAAUCGUCUGCGCGUCCCAGAUCAAAGACAAAAGGUGGUCCUGCCACCUCUCCCCACCCCUUCAUUUUCUACCUAGUGACCACUGACUUCUGUUGUUUUAGGGAAAGCUUGUUAGCAAUGGCAGAUCCCCACCCCCCCAAAGGAAUAACUGAAUUCAAUAUUAGUGCUGGUAAAUAAAGCAUACAGUUAUUUUUAAAAGCCCAGCAUUUGAAAACUAACUUCUUCAGGGCUCUGUGUCCACUGAGUGGACAAUGUGCUGUGUUGUUUCAGUUUGGGGUUCAUUCCAGGAUUGCUCUUACUUCUGUGAAACAGUCAACCGCAUGUUCCCAUCAGGGUCCAUGAAAAGAAACGUUGCCUUUCAUCACAAAGGACACUGCAGUGAAAGGGAGACACGACUUCAACUGUAUAUUCUAUUUUCUUAUUUUGUUCUUCAACUGUGGUUUUCAUCUUUCCAUGCUCCCAGCCCUCUCACAUCCAUCUAUAACCCCAUCAUUAAACAAAAUAUUACCUUCACGGACUUGCUGGUAUUUUUUCAGGAGCUCUACUAUGCCUAUAAAUUUGACCUGGGUGAUAUUACUAGUUUGAUAGGUUAUUCUGUCAUACCGGAAGUCACAGUCUAUGAAUCAGUAUGUCCAUGUGAACCACACCGCUCCCCCCAGUCACAUUAGCUAAAUUGUUUCUAAAAGAUAUUUUUAGGCCAGUGAACACUUAGCAAAAAUGUCUCUACAGAUCCUGAUAGAACUAUUUUUAGAUUCAGUACUUUAAAAGCCUGUUCAACCCAACCAGUUCCAAUCAAUGUAAAUGUGCUCCUAACAAAAAGAUCUUUAUAUUGGUAGUGAUUAAAUCAUUACACAUUUCCUUUAUGGAAUUAGCCGAUCAAACAAUAAAAAAUUCUCACCCCAUGAAAUAUUCUGAUUUUAAACUCUAGGAAAAAAGUAUACAUUUCUUGUAUUUUCAAGGGAAGCAGUCAUGUAAGACUGAAUCACUAGCGUAUAGAACAUUUGUUUGGGUUUUAUCUUUUCUGCAGACUUAUUGUGUAUUCUAUUUGAUAUGCCUUUGUUACUUUUUUAAAAUGAUCUAAAUUUUCAGUCUAUUGCCCAAUUAGUAUUCUGUAUAAAAUAGAUGAAUGUAUAGUACAUAUAUAUGUGUAGGAUUUAAUCCAUGGGUAGAAACAACAGCCAUUACGGUGAGACUAUGAAGCGUCUGCCUCUAUGAGAAACAGCAAGAGGGAAACCACUCCAGAUCAAUAACCUAUAGGUAACCCACAUGAAAAGGGGCCCCAAAGCUUUUCUCUUCAAAUAUUAAACAAGCUUUCCCUGAUGGUAUCCUAUACAUGUUGGAAGGGUUAAGUAAAAGUGGGAGGACCAAAUGUUGACUAGGCGAUAUAUUGUUUCUGUGUUAUUUACUACAGACAGUUUUGGCAUGCCUCAAUUGCUGAAAAGUAAUCAUAAACUUGAUAUUCUGAAGGUGGCAUGAGGCUAGAUUUUUCACAGGAAUAGCAGAGAUGAGCGACUCUGGCAUGUAGGCACAGGGUGUGUUUGGUGUGUCUUUGUGCCUGCUUUACGGGAGGCACAUUACCCUUGUCUGUGGGCUCUGGUACUGACGUAUCGAACACAGAAUGAAUAUGUAACGACUUAACACAGCAGUAAUACAUUUAGCAUGUAAGCAGUUACAUAGAUCUUCCCAAGAUCUUGGGAACAGCAGAAAUUUACCAUGGACAGAAUGUCAGGAAGGAAAGAAUUAAGGUGAGCUGGGUUGACUGUCUCUAAGCAAAGAGACACUCUGCCUUGAAAUGUGUAUUUUUGAGUGAGAACACAGUAGUCACCAGCACCGCCUUUCGUGGUCUUUUGUUCACUGUACGUGGAGUUGGCACUAAAUCCCUGGGGAGGAUAAUGGUGUAUAUCAUCUUUUACUCAGAGUCUGAAUCCUCUUGUGGUCCUAUGAGAUACACACAAAUGCUUGUUUAGUAGACAGUAACCUAUGCAAAUAUGCAUUUGUGCAGUCUUCUUUUCAAUUCAUGGAAAAAAUCACAGGGAAUUUUUUCUUGAAGCUUCAUUCAAGACAAUUACCAUCAGAUCACUAGUUGUGAUUUUUUUUUUUAAAGCCUAGAAAGUGACCCUCUUCCCUACCAGAAACUCUUAAUUAUUAAAAAGAGAGGUGUUUGGUUUGGUUGGUUGGUUAGGGUUCUGUCCUAAGAAAGAACAGCAAAUGAAAUAUUCUUCAGUUUCAGAAACAUUUGAUGCAAACCUAUUUGAUUGAUUCAAGGAUUCACAUAUGUAUUUUCACCCCCAUUUCCAUGAAUAAUUGAAAGGGAACUGUUUAAAAGCCUGUACCUGGACAACAUGAUACUAUAUCUGUCUGUUGUGGUUGAAUCAGGAGCAAGGGGAAAGUCAUUUCCACUUUGCAACCACCAUUGGUCCUCUCUUGUUUAUCAAGGGUGAUGCUGAGAAUGAAUUAUGGGGAGUAUUUCAUAUAAUAGAGAUUAUGUGUGUAGUUAUUUACUGACAUACAAAACUUGUUUUUUAAUUGCAGCUCAACAUAGGAUGGAAUUCUUUGCACCUUCUGUGCACUAGGGGCAAUUAUCCCACUAGGAUGUUUUGAAUUCCCCUAAAAAUUAGAUGGAAUGAAAAAAAAACCUUCUUGUGUUAGUAGAAUUAGGCUCCUGUAGUAGCUGGUAUGUGACCUCUAACCACCUUUGAGUCAAAGCUGUCUCUGGUCUCACUUUAACAUUCUCAUUUUGGGGGUUAUGAUGAUCCCCCCCCUAAAAAAACCCCACAUCUUCUGUAUGCUUGAAAAGGACCUGAUUUUGGUGUACUUCUUCAGAGCUUAGUUCCAAGGAGACAGUAAAAUACCUUAGUGGUUUUAUCUUUACGUAAUUUAUGUAUUUGAAGCUCUCUAUUCCAGGUCAGUGGCCUAUUUUGCUACUCUGGAUGGUUGACCAAUGUUAACAAACCCAGGUGAUCUUAGGAUAAAUGGAGAGUGACUGUGGGCAGCCCCAGAGGCCAUCCGUAACCAGUUUCUGAUAGAUUCAAAGAGAAAGCUCUCACCCUUUCUUCAAACUUGAUCCCAAAGUCAGUGCCCUCCUGCCUGAUAACCAUUAAUGAUUUAUAUGGGAUUUGAGUUCCAGUGAAGUUUUCAUGUCUGUGCCACAGAAGAUUUCCUCGUAAUGGUCUCUGGAUGGCGGGGGGUUAAAUAAGCACUUUCCCUCUAUGCUUCAAGGAUAAUCACAGAAAAAUCAAAGUGUACAGUAACAUCAAGGUAUUGUUUAAUUUACUAGACAGCUGAUGGUCUUUGAACUGAAGAGUGAAACUUAAGAAAUUUUUUAAAUUGCAUGGCAAAUACUGGAUACUAGAUACCAGUUCACAGCCUCAAGAUGAACUUCGGUGCCAUAUUCUCACACAGAAUGUAAAGCAGCACCUUCACACCACUGUGGAACUGAUUGUCACAUGCACCUGAGUAAAACGUGGAUGUGUUGAAGCAUAGGAGUGUGUGCACAUCUGGGCCAGGGGCUAAACCAGGCUGGGCAGUGCAGCAGUCUGCAUGUUGCUUAACUGCAGAAUCCUUACGACUGGGGCCUGUCAGGAUGCAAAUGGAUGCUUGUCACUCUAUGGGACAGGUACGCUGGUCAGUGGUUGUGGUCACCUCUUAAACAGACCCUCUCUCCUGUUCUGAAGACUUUCCCUUCUUCCACAGAAGCUAGAGUGAACAUUGGGGGUGCUUGUGUCUUUUCGAAUUAUGGUGUUCCCUGGAUAUGCCCAGGAGUGGAAUUGUGUUGGUUACCAAAGGGGAAACGUGGAAGAAAGUGAUAAGUUGGGAGACUGGGAUUAAUAUUUGCAUUGCACUAUAAAUAGAUAACUAUUAAAGACCUACUGUCUAGCACAGAGGACUCUACUCAGUGGGAAAAGAACCUGAAAAAGAAUGGACAUCUGUGUAUGUAAUGAGUAAGUGAUUCACUUUGCUGUACACCUUAAACUUAACAUUGUAAAUCUACCCCAGUGAAAAUUUUUUUAAAAAGCUAGAGGCAGUCGGAGAAGUGAGAGCCCCUGGGAGGAGAGCCAUGGCAGACACCCUCCCUUGUCUGUCUGUGUCUGGGAUGGAGCAGAUAAACACAAGUGGUCAAGGGCAUUGGUGGCAAGUUGGCAGAACAUGAAUAACCGAAUACUUGGGAAGACGAUAGACCAGAAACACUAACUGAGGGGUCAUUUCCUGUGUGCUGGGUGGGUUGUAGGGACCCAGCGAGACCCCUCUGCUGUGCUUCUGCCUCCACACCCCCCAGGAGGUUCAGGUCCUCAUCCCUGGUUCAGAGCCAUCGUCCCUGGUGCUCCCAGGGAAGCCUCCACUGUGCUGGCGGUCACCACAGCCUCAUUAAGAUGCUGCUCUUGUUCUCAAUGACAGCCGUAAUAGGACAGGAAUAAGGCUGAACCAGUUGAAACCACUAGCAUUCAGCCAUUUCUGACCUACAAAACCAGCAGCUACUCAUUUCCCAGUUUCUCACCUUGCUCUCCUCACACAACCAGAUCACAGAAUUCCCCUGCCUGCAAAAUGUCCUACUAGCUUCUCAGUGGGCUCAGAAUAAAAUCCAGGCUCUUCGCCUUGGCCUCCUCUGGGAUCCUUCAGGACCUGGCUCCUGCCUGCCCUUCUUCCCCUACCUUCCUCCUCUGCCCCAGUCCUGUCCCCCAGCUCCCUCUUCCUCCAAGCUGGCGUCCUAGCCUCGGAGAAGUUCCUGGAGCUCAAGUCGGGAUCUUUUUAUUCUGCCCUGCUAGACAGAAUUGUCUAGCUCCUCAUAAUUUGAACCUCAACUCAGGUGUCACCUCCUCAGAGAGGCCUUUCCUGGGCCUUCCGUCUAAAGGAAGUUUUCCUCCUAACCCUGUUAGCUCAUUGUAAUUUUUUUUUUCCAGGUGCUUUAUCCCUAUCUAAAAUUUCUUUUUCACUUGUUUUUUUUUUAAAAAUUGAAGUAUAGCUGAUUUAUAGUGUUGUGCCGAUCUCUGCUGUACAGCAAAGUGACUCAGUUAUACACAAAAACACACAUCCUUUUUAAUAUUUUCCAUUAUGAUUUAUCGCAGAAUAUUGACUAUAGUUCCCCAUGCUAUAUGGUAGGACCUUGUUGUUUAUCCAUUCUAAAUGCAAUAGUUUGUGCCUACCACCCCCAGGCUCGCAGUCCAUCCCUCUCCCUCCACCCUAGACAUAGAGAACAGACUCGGGCUCUCCUUGCUGCUUAAUUGUCAUCUCCUUCACGCCAGUGGAGAAGAGAACAGACACUCUGCCUGGCUUGUUCUUCGCUCUGUACCCCCUGCCUGGCCACACAGCAGGGAGGGGCUUAGUAUGGAUUUGUUGAGUGGACACCUUGUGGACGCCUCGCUCACAGCUCUGAACCCUCUGCAGCCGCAGCCACUGCAGAGUCUGGUCGUGAGCAGCCAGGGCUGCCAGUCAGAGGAGUCUCCGCCCUAUCAUGUGCUGACUACCCCGCUGGUAACACCUCGUCCAGGAAGUGGGAGUGAGGGCUGGUGGAG